rnacentral:rRNA from 1 species
CCGGCGACCGGCGCACGGGUGAGUAACACGUAUGCAGCCUGCCCUCUUCAGGGGGACAACCUUCCGAAAGGGAGGCUAAUCCCGCGUAUAUCGGUUUCGGGCAUCCGAGAUCGAGGAAAGAUUCAUCGGAAGAGGAUGGGCAUGCGGCGCAUUAGCUAGACGGCGGGGUAACGGCCCACCGUGGCGACGAUGCGUAGGGGUUCUGAGAGGAAGGUCCCCCACACUGGUACUGAGACACGGACCAGACUCCUACGGGAGGCAGCAG